rnacentral:lncRNA from 1 species
AUGAGGCGGAGGUGCCCGCUGCCUCCAGGCUCCCCCGUAUGCUGCCAGCCUCUCUCAAAGGCCCAAUGUUUCCCACUCCUCGCUGUGUCACCGCUGGUGACAGCCAUGGCUGUGACACUGCAGUGCAGCAAGGGACUGGCGUGGGGUACGGCAAACCCUGUGCACCCACCAUGGGGGGGGGGGGCGAUUGGCGCUGCAGCCAGGGGCAGCAGGAGGGCCAGCCCGGGCCGCCCCAGGGCGAGGACGGGGGGACCCUUCCGCUUCUUCGGCUCCGUAGCUGGAAGGGGCAGCGGUCAAGGCCGGCGGCUCCAAGAAGCGAAAGGGAACAAGCUGACUAACGAGGGAGCUACUGGCGAACGUGGCGCGGGGGCUCGGCGUGGAGAAGCCAUGCAGCCCCGCUCGGCGAGCCCCAUGCAAAGGCCGGCGCGGGGCGUUAGUGAGGGACGCGGCGCGGCGGCGGAGGCCGCGCGGCAGCCGGGGGUUAGCUUUCGGGGGUGCCAGCGAGGGGGGGGGUGGCCGGGAACUACAGCGCUUACCCUGAAAAUCCCCCUCACACCUAUCCAACAUUGCAUCAUCACACAGCUGCAAGGACACAAUAACAGGAUUGGGAGAAAGAAAGAAAAAAAGGGGAAGAGAAAAACCAAAAAAACAAACAGCAACAAAGGAGGUGAGAACAGAACGCGAGCGCYGCCCGAGUGCCAUGGUGCCGGCAGCCCGCGGGGCCGGUCGGCCGCCCCGCCGCCUUCGCAGGGACGGCGCUCCCCACAGCCCCCCAAGCCUUGGGGUGCCGGCCGGGCACGGCGGCACCUCCGGGCGGGCUUCCCAUGCCGGCAGCACGCGGGGAUGGGGCUGGGGGCUCCUCCGCUAUGGCGGGCCGGAUGAGGAGAGAGACUCGGGCGAAGCCCYGGGCCGCAGACCCGGAGGCGACUGGGUGUCCCUCAACCCAGCGAAGCUCCUGGAGGAAGCCGAGAGAGGCCCACGGGGCUCCCCACAYGGCGCCAGGAGGGCAGGAGGCCCCAGCGAGCGGCUUUCCGGGGGCCCCCGCGACGCCCGUGCCCGGG